GUUGUUGCGGUUAAAAAGCUCGUAGUUGGAUUUUGGGCGCAGGCGGCCGGUCCGUCGCAAGGCGUGUACUGGCCGUCCUGGCCUCACCUCCGGUUCUCCGCCGGUGCCCUUGACUGAGUGUCGGCGGCGGCCGGAACGUUUACUUUGAAAAAAUUAGAGUGUUCAAAGCAGGCGAUUCGCCUGAAUAAUGGUGCAUGGAAUAAUGGAAUAGGACCUCGGUUCUAUUUUGUUGGUUUUCGGAGCGCGAGGUAAUGAUUAAGAGGGACAGACGGGGGCAUUCGUACUGUGCCGUUAGAGGUGAAAUUCUUGGAUCGGCGCAAGACGAACGACUGCGAAAGCAUUUGCCAAGAAUGUUUUCUUUAAUCAAGAGCGAAAGUCAGAGGUUCGAAGACGAUCAGAUACCGUCCUAGUUCUGACUAUAAACGAUGCCAACUAGCGAUCGGGGGGCGUUAGUUUUACGACCUCUCCGGCAGCUUGCGGGAAACCAAAGUCUUUGGGUUCCGGGGGAAGUAUGGUUGCAAAGCUGAAACUUAAAGGAAUUGACGGAAGGGCACCACCAGGAGUGGAGCCUGCGGCUUAAUUUGACUCAACACGGGAAAUCUCACCCGGCCCGGACACAGUGAGGAUUGACAGAUUGAGAGCUCUUUCUUGAUUCUGUGGGUGGUGGUGCAUGGCCGUUCUUAGUUGGUGGAGCGAUUUGUCUGGUUAAUUCCGAUAACGAACGAGACUCUGGCUUGCUAACUAGUUACGCGACCCAAUCGGUCGGCGUCUAACUUCUUAGAGGGACUAGUGGCGUUUAGCCACACGAGAUUGAGCAAUAACAGGUCUGUGAUGCCCUUAGAUGUUCGGGGCCGCACGCGCGCUACACUGACCGGAUCAGCAUGUGCUCGCCUUGGCCGACAGGUCUGGGUAACCCGCUGAACCCCGGUCGUGCUAGGGAUAGGGAAUUGCAAUUAUUUCCCUUGAACGAGGAAUUCCCAG
rnacentral:rRNA from 1 species